rnacentral:misc_RNA from 1 species
AUUUUAGCCAACUUUUGUUAGCGCACACAGAAAAGCAUGAGCCAGGCGACGGUGUUUUGCGCGCAUGCAAAUUUUGGGACCCGGAGGUUAUAUAUGGGAGUGGGAUGAGUCGAUGGCAAAGAGAGACAAAAGAGAAUUGCAAGUGGCUUCAGCUACUGCAAGUGCUUGGCUGAAUCUCUGGGUCAGAGGCUGUAUAUAGGUAAGUUUGGCGAGGGACUGUUGCUGGUCCAGGGCGCCUUGGGUAAAGUCUUUAGGGUGAGUCUUAGGGCCUGGGUUCUCCAGUUCCCAAGGGCUCUCCCUAAAACUUUGUCACUUUCCCUCACUCCCCCCAGCGUACUCUAGGGUGCGCGCGCAGUAAAACUUGCGUUUUGCUGUUUGGCCUCGCGAUUUAUCGCCCAAGUCUCGGGAUGACAACGUCUCCCCGAGCAAGGAAAGAAACAGUGGAUUACUAGGCAAUGCCAAAGAAAUCCCAAACUCCAAGAUCACUCCGAUCUUUUUUUACUA